UUGUCAAAUCCGGCAUAAACGAACGCACCCUAAAGCGGAUCAUGACAAUCACAACUCACAAACGCUGUUGGAGACGGGGACACGUGUCUGUCAACAUUUUUCUUUUUACAGCAGAUAUAUGGAUCAUUUGCAUGUCUUGCGAGUUACAGCUGCAGGCUUCAGUUACGGAUUGAAGCAUUCGUCGUCCCUGCCGGAGAUCUCGCGCUCUCGUUCCCUCGCACCCAUCUCCAUCUCGAGCAGCAGCUCGUCGUACCCGAAGACGGCCAAGGCGCCGGCCUCAGCGAUGGCACCCAGCGCCGCGGCGAGCCCCACGCAGACCUUCUUCUUCCCCUCGUCCUCGUUGAACCACUCCUCGCCCCCGCCGCUGCGCUGCCGCUUCGCGGCCGACGCGACGGCGGCGGCCGCCUCAGCGGCCGCGUCCACGGCCCUGGCCGCCGGCUCCACGUCCACGGCCUCCACCGCGCGCGCCCAGCUCACGAUCAGGCGCGGCAUGUUCUCGCCGUCCUUGACGCAGCUCCGCGCCCAGCCCCAGAGCGCGGCCGCGUACGCGCGCUGCGACUCGGCCCAGGCCUCCAGCGCCGCGCGCCAGCCGCGGAGCUCCG
rnacentral:misc_RNA from 1 species